UUUUAAAAAUAAUUCUGGUACGUGCAUUGACCAUUUAGUGUGGGUGGUUAGGGACGUUAGGAAUGUUGAUGGGGGAUGUUAGCAUUGUUGCGUUUUGGGGAACUAGUAUGUGUAAUUUUCGCGAACAAUAACCUUUAGUUAAAAAAUAACUAUAACUUUUUUAACAUUAGCGUGUAAGACCUUGCCUCGGAGCCAGCUGGUGUAUAUAGCUGUAUCAGUUAGAAGUUCGCUAGAAAUGUGGCCAAUGUGUUGAAUUUUUCUGUUGGCAAUGUGAUGCAUUAGGCUAGUCAUGUCUGCCUUGUACAGCAGUUCGUUUGGAUGUAAUAGGUGUGAUAAUUUACGUUUGCAUGGGUAUAUAGUGCCUACCGCAAACAGCAAGAACAUUUCUGUGAACUAUUUGUUAGGACUUCGAGAUGUUAACACUAAAAUAACCUGGCAGUGAAAUUAUAGGCUUUGUGUAAAACUUAGCGACAUUAGCAUCUUGUAGUGUGUAGGAGCCAGCUGAUGUAUAUCAAUCACUAAAGAUAUGGCCAACGAAUUUUUGUGUGAACAGUUAUGCUAGCCUAUUUUAAUCUAGGCUUACUUAUACAGUAGAUAGUGUUGAGUUGAAAUGAACAUUUCGGUUGACUGUGCUUAAACAACUGCAAGUCCCACAAUGCACCACUAGCAGGUCAGUGCAGCCUGCUCAUUAUUUUAAGUGGGAACACCUGAGAAGGAAAGGAGGUCUCUCAGUAAACACUCCAGCAAACAUUUCAGCAGAGAGAGACACACGAAAAGGAUCUACUCGUGGUGCAACCAAAGAAGCCACUGGUACAGUAACUUAUUGGGUUUUAUUGCGAUGAUUAUUUGCUGUUGAAAGUGCUGUUAUAAUCAUUGAUGGUUCUAUAAGUUGAUUGAUUUGUGUAAUGAUACUAACCAAGCAGCAUACAGGCAGCAUGCUUAUCAGCUUGCUGCAUGCAAGUGAGUUUGGUCUUUUGUUUGAGUAUAUUUUGUUGAUUAUAAAUUGAACAAUGAUGUUUGAAGUGCUUUUCUUAAACACCUAUGCUGCAUACUAUUUGCAGUCAUUAAACAGUCACUCUGUCAUUAGUUGGGAUUGUUGCAGCAAUUCCAACUGUUGUAAGCCUUGGUACUUGGUACUGAAAUUGUUUGAAAUGUAUUUGAAUUUUUUGUAUAACUUGUGCUUUUUGUGUUUUUAAGGUUUUCAACCUAAAUGAGCCAACCAGUAAAAGAAAUAAAAAUCAUUCUGAGUUGGAACGAGUUGUCCCGUGCGUCCUUUGGGAUUAAUGCACCAGGCCGUUUUCAAGUUGGGCCAGAGAGUAGUCAGAAAACACCUGAGAACUUGACAGUUGAAAACCACGCGAAGCAGCCUGGACUGAGGAUAAACGGCUUCAGACAUCCAGAGACAAGCUGUUGACGCAGAGGAAAUAAAGAUGGCAGAAGACGCGCUGGGGAAGACGGUCAAGCAGCUCAAAAGAGAGAGGACCACUGCAAAAAGCAGCUUCACCAGACAGGCCAACUUCAUUUCCAGAGGGGUAAGCAGCAUGCUUGAAGCAGAGUUAAAGGAGGAGUUCAUUAAACUCUCACACUGUUUUAGACAACUGCUUGAUGCCAAUGAUGACUGCAGGAUUGGACUACUGGCUGAGAUUAAAAAGCCAGAAGAGGAGGAGGAGGAGGAAGAGGAAGAAGUAGUGCUUGAAAAGCAGCAAGAGCGCGACAUUAAAAGGACAGAAAAUGAAGCUGAAACAAAAUUUGAAGAAGUAAAAGAUACUGUCCAGACGAACCUGUGGUCAAGGUAUGGCAAAAAUGAACUCGAAAUGGCAAUCUUAGAAGCAGAAAAUGCCUUUGAUCAAGCAAAUGGUGUAGUUGUGGAAAGUACUAAUGUGGAGUGCUAUGAAGUGCACCUGACCCUCUUACUGAAGCGGCUAAAGGAGCUCACUCCAGUGAUGUCAGCUUGGGAGCGAUGGAUCCCUGCGUUAUCAAAGGAUGAGCUAGACAACAGAGUCAAGAAUCUGAGAACGGCUAGCAACAGGCUUGAACAUAGAAAAGCUGAAUUCGUCACUGCACGUAGAAUUGCAGAACAAACACUAGCCGCAGAAGCUUCAGGAGCUGGGAGGGGGAGAGCACUGCCCACACCAGCCACACCAAUUGUGAAGAUCAAGCCAACCACUCUGCCCAUCUUCAAUGGAUGCAAAAGAGAAUACCACAGAUGGAGGAAAGACUGGGAGAGCCUACAAAGGCAAGGAGAGCCAACGGGAUCACCUGAAGUCAAGAAAAUUCAGCUCCUGGGUAGUGUGGAGGACAAGAUUUCAAAGGACCUCAGACUUUCAACCAACAACACUGCUGAGGAUAUCUUCAGAGUCAUGGAGAACAGGUAUGGCAACAAGUCAACCAUCGCCAUAGAAAUCCUUGAGGAGCUGGAGAAGAUGCCACAUGUGAGGGGGAACCAGCCAAGGAAAGUCAUUGACCUCAUACAGUCUGUGGAGAGGGCCCUAGCAGAUCUCACAGAGCUGGGAAACUCCGGAGCCAUGAAUAACCCACUGGUAAUAAAAUCUAUUGAGAGUAAGUUACCUGACUUUAUAUUAAGAGACUGGUUAAAGUUUAUGGUCGACCCUGCAAAUGAUGUCACUUCAGACAACCACUUUGGCAUGCUCUUAAAAUUCCUAAAAAAACAGGAAGAAAUCCUAGAGAGGCUUGAACAGCUAAGGACUGUGGAGAAGAUGGAGAAAUCAGACCAUCCAGAAAAUAGAUAUGAGCGAAAAUAUGCUUCAACAAGAACCACAGAGAAAGGAGAGCUGGAGGAUGUGUGUGGUGUGUGUGGUGAUGGUGGACACAAAAACAAAAUCUUCUUCUGUAGGAAGUUUAAAUGGCUGAAGCUACCUGAAAAGAGAUCUGUCUUAGAAAAGCUGGGAGCGUGCAUAAAAUGUCUUGGAUGCCAUGAUGACGAUGGAUAUUGCAGAGAUACCUUCCUAUGCAGAAAUAAAGACUGUAAAGAGGGAGGAGGCACCCCAGACCACCAUUACUUUCUCUGCCCAAAAGGAGAACUAAAAAUGGGUGAGGAACAGAGUGGAAAAGGCAGCAGAGGUAAAAGCAAGCUAACAGAAGAACAAGAGGAGUUCUUGUCUGAACUUUCCCCAGAACUAGCAGAACAGUGCAAAAAGGCUUUCACCAGCAAAACCGCAGUUACCAGCAAUGCUAAAGACCAGUCAGAGCUUUUAGAGAAAAAGGGGCUGUCUGAACUUCCUGUCAUCAUGAUGCUGAUGAAGGUCACUGCAAAUGCAGGGCAGAAGAUUGGGACUUUGGUUGACCUUGGAUCUGACACUAACUACAUUACCCAUAAGGCUGCUGACAGGCUGAGGUUACAAAGUGAGAAGAUAACCUUAGUUGUGCACGGGGUUGGUGGAAUGACCAUGAAGGUGAACACUAAAAGAUAUGUGCUCAAAGUCAGAGUCAAAACUCCUCGAGGAACAGAGAGGGCACAUGAACUUGUCUGCUACGGCCUGGAUGAAAUUGCCAAAGUGCACAAAGUGAUUGAACCUAGGAAGUUGCAGAAAUUCUUCCCAGAGGUCGAGCUUGAGGAAUUGAGAAGGCCAAAAGAAGUUGAACUCCUCAUUAGCCACCGAGAGGGAAGACUCGCUCCGCAGAGGCUGAGAGUUGUAGGAGAUCUUGUCUUGUGGGAAAGUCCAUUGGGUAAGACAGUGGGCGGAGCACACCCCGACUUGUUUGAGGAAGUACAAGUGGCAGCACACGAGUCCAAAACACACUUUGCUCGCUCCAUGAGGACAGCUGCUGUCAAGUAUGAGGAAAUCCUCAGGAGUUCAACAACUGAGGCAGCCCAGUUACAACAGAAGUGGAAAGGACCAGAGUGGUACGUAAGCCAUCUGGUGGCACCAAACCCUCAUUCAACUCAACCUGCAGGUGAAGCAGGGAAAAAGAAGAUGAGGGAUGGCAAGGAUUUUCUAAAACAGGAGGUGAGACCAGAGACGCCUAACCCUCUGACUAGGAGGGGACUCCUAAGCCAAGUAGCUGGACUAUACGACCCAGUUGGCUUAGUUACAUCUGCCAAACAGAAAGGGGCAAUCCUUGUCAGGAAAGUGUUCCAGGAAGGUGGAGGCGGUAAGCUGACCACGUGGCAGAAUGGACCAGACCUCCUGAAGUGGUCAGUAGACAAGUGGCCUAAAAAGUCUGCUGGAGAGGUUGCAGCUAAUGCCAGGGAGAGUGUAAACAAACUCCAGAGGAAGGCAUUCACAGCUGUAGUGACAAGAGCUCAAGCAAAAAUUGGCCAGAAAAAAGAAAACAUGCAGACUCUUCAGGAGAACCUGAGAAGUGAAAUUCCAGAGGAAAGAACUGCAUCAAACCCAAGUCCUUCUCUUCCAAAAAGGAAACCUGCUGGCUGGGUAAUCAAAAAGCUUGUGAAAGUGAGGAACUUCAGUAGCUUGUCCAAACUGGUCAAGGUCAUCGGCUGGGUGGGGCAAGCAGCACAUAAGUGGCGCGAGAAGAAGGGCCAGACCAGAGGUCCGUCAAAGUGGGAGGCAAUGUCUCUCAAGAAAAGGACCAAGGGAGUGGCUGGGACCCUUCUCAGAACGAGGAAAAAAGCCUGGGUGAGUGACUUCACAACCAUGGACCUGUUCGGCCCUUAUGAAGUGAAGAAAAGAGUGAGACGCAAAGUGUGGGGAAUUGUGUUCUGUUGCAUGGCCUCCAGAGCCAUACACACUGAUGUGGUGAGUGACCAGUCAUCAAAAGGAUUCCCGCUGGCAUACCAGAGGUUCACUUCACCUAGGGGAUUCACUCAGGAAACUGUGUUCAGACCCUGGCACUAACUUUGUUGGGGCCAAGCCAUGUCUGGACCAAGUGAACAAGUCUGAGGCUUGAGAGACUGGUGUGACCUCCCUGGGUUUGAAAAACCAGGAGCUCAAGUGGGAGGUGUUGAGUUGAAAUGAACAUUUCGGUUGACUGUGCUUAAACAACUGCAAGUCCCACAAUGCACCACUAGCAGGUCAGUGCAGCCUGCUCAUUAUUUUAAGUGGGAACACCUGAGAAGGAAAGGAGGUCUCUCAGUAAACACUCCAGCAAACAUUUCAGCAGAGAGAGACACACGAAAAGGAUCUACUCGUGGUGCAACCAAAGAAGCCACUGGUUUUCAACCUAAAUGAGCCAACCAGUAAAAGAAAUAAAAAUCAUUCUGAGUUGGAACGAGUUGUCCCGUGCGUCCUUUGGGAUUAAUGCACCAGGCCGUUUUCAAGUUGGGCCAGAGAGUAGUCAGAAAACACCUGAGAACUUGACAGAUAGUUUGUUUGGAUGUCUAUGGAGAGGAAUUUGUGUCGAAGUAUAUAAUGUCUUUAUGAAAAAUAGUUCUCUCAUCCAAAAAACAUUCCUUUGUGAAAAUGCUUGUGUUGGGGUGGAGGUGUUAAUAGUCUGCCUGCAAAUAUGAUUCAAGGCAAUUAGCCCUCCUGUUGACACCUUCGACACAACAAUGAUGGGGUCAUACAUGUUAAAUGGGCACUUUUUUUGUUCAUGAACGACGUGGUUAGCAGCUAAGAGACUCACCUGCAUUUACCAAAACAUGCUGCUUACUGUUCAUAUCACUUGUAUCUUAUUCCAUACUGUAUAUAUUCUAUUUAUACAUUUUUAUAUUACC